AUGGUUAACUUAAUUAGCUUCCUAGUAUUUGUGGUCUGAAAAAGCUUCUCUAGAUAUUGCACAUGACUAGCUGUUUGUUUGGUGCCCUUGUUUUGUGAAAGAGUGUUUAAAGCAUGCAAGUGCAGUGCUAGCCUGAAUUUACAGCUAGAAUAUAUUCGUGGCCCUAUCUGCCAGUCAUGGUCGCUAUGGGGCUUCAUCUAACGCUGUUGCUUGGCACUGUCGUAGUGACAAGCGUUAUAGGUCAAAGAAACAUUUCGCUGUCGGGUCCUGAUAUAAAACUAUUGAGGCUUGGUCAAAAUCCCAAGCUUCUCGAAUUUGCUGCUUUGACUUUGGAGUCUGUAAUAAUAGUAAUUAAAGAUCCGGAAGUUCUUGCUGUUGUACAAGAGGGUGUCAAUGCCAAUUUCUGGUGCCUGCCUUGGCUGCAAAAGUUUCCUGGAGGAUCGAUCAGAUGGUUAUUCCAGAGGAGAGAUGUAAUCACUGGAGAUCUUGCUGCAGAGGUCUGUGGAACUGACCCCUCGAUUCGAAUUGGUGGAGAAUUUAAUGAAUGGUUCAAUAUAACAUCAACGGUUCUCGUUUCAGGUGCUGCAUCAACUUCCAAUGGUUUGUACAUUUGUGAAGUUUGCUUUUCCCGUGGCACGGCAUUUGAAGAGUGUCACUUGGCUAAUACCUCUCUACAAGUUAUUGGAGGUCCUCCUAUUCUUGAUAAAGCUACUGACAACAGUAAGCAAGCAUCACACACAUCUACUAUAUAUAGAUCCUGUUAGUGUAAUGGUAAUUGACGCUGAAACUGAGUACUUAAUAGGAUCUGAUUUUUGCAUUGACUCAAACUUCCGAGGAACUGUUACUAUUGUCUGCCAAAUAGUCAAUGAAUGCUGAAUCAGACAUGAAUGUUUCACGAGCCUUUCCUGUUCCAUUCCGUUCAUGGUCACUCAAUGGGGACUUACUCUACUCAGAAUUAAGUACCGGUACUCUGAACAUUCUGGACAACAUAGAAUUUUUUUCGGCGUCAGUGGAACCGGUACUUAGCACUCCGCUUGUUGGUCGUCUGCAAGGUGGAAUUCGAUUGAACUUUGAACUGUUUAAUGCACUGUUUGCUCCUUUAUUUGACUCUCUUGAGGCAGCAAGGAGGGCAGCUUACCGGGCUGUGGUCGGAGCUUGGACUUGUCGGACAAACAACACAUUUGGAUCAGACAUGGCAACUUCAAACAUCAGAAUUUGUGACAAUUAAUGUUCUCUGCUCUGGCACUCAGUUCCCACAGACUGGUGAUGUUGUCCCUGUAGGGUGUACUGUUUGCAUUCUGGAAGGUGAUAUCAUAACGUUGAACUGCACCAGACAGAGUGUGUCGGAGGUGUUUUACGUGUGGAGAAAUGGUACUGGUAUAGCCGUGUCAAUCUUACCUCUGCUCACUACUGGCACUAACGAUGAGUACAAUUGUACCGCUACAAACUUGGACCGUACUAAUACUGCAAUCUUUGUUUCCAUGGUGGCUUAUAGGAAUGCUGUCACUUUCACUGCUCAAACUAAAGAAGAAUAUUCCUCUUCAACCCGGAUGAACAAUGGUUGCUCCAGGUUGAGCAACCAGGUAGGACUUGAGAGUGUAGCUGUCUGUGCAUUCGUUGGGGAGACACUUGAGCUAAACUGCGCUACUGAUGACAAUGCAAUGGUUCCGUUAGAAAUUACAGUUCCUGGCGGGAGUAUGGCCACUGGAUUACUGAUUGUGUCAAGUGUGGACAUGGGUGACGAAGGAACUUACAGCUGUCGACUGAGCAAUGACCCAGGUCCUUGUGGGCAAGCAACUGAGCAGAGAGAAGUGCGAGUGUUUGUCACUGUUAGUCAACCGGUGAGGUUGCCCCAGGAGCUUCGACUGACCACCAGGAACCUCAUCGCCCCCACAAAUGGCUUCGAGUACUCGUGUAUUGUGAAUGGAGUCAAUAUGACGGCUCAGUAUGAGAAUGAGACUUCUAUCCUGUGUAUAGUGGGCAGUGGGCAACUCACACUUUUUGCUGGGGUCGGCAGUUCACCCGUGGCUGUCAUUGUGAAUAACGUCAACCACACACUCAACAACACCAUGCAACUAACUGCAGUGACAUUGUAUGAUUGUCGUGAUUUGGCCAGUGGAUGUUCAGAAUGUAUUGCGGCCAGAAUGAGGUCAGAGUUCGCAUGUGGAUGGUGUGGGAGUAGUUGUGAGGUGAUGCAAGAGUGCUCCACUGAUAUUUUUGUUACUGAGGGCAACAAUUGUCCUGCCCCUGUCAUCAACUCGUUCACUCCAAUGUCUGAGGAGCAACUGCAGUCUUGGGGAGAUUCCCACCUGCAGUGCUGUGAACAUUACCACCAUCACAUGUCCCACUCCUAACCUGUCAGCGACCUCACUAACCGCAUUAGACUACGCUUUAGUGUUUGAUGGUGUCCCACCCCACACUAGCAAGCCAUCCUAUCAUCGUUCAAUCAAAUCCCUCUAACUUCAGACUAGAAACCUCUCAGGUCACUAGUGGCACAUGCAGAGACCGUCAUACAUAUUGUGGGUGAUAAUCUCGAAUCAGUGGAGAGGGGUGAGAUAGAAGUGACUGUGGGAGGGGAGAAGUGUGUCCAUACAACUAGUGAGAGAGUUAGUGACAUCAUCUGUACUGCCCCCUUGGAGCCACCAGGAGGGGAAAACCCUGCCAUCAUAAAUGUGACCGUUGGGAGCAACAUCAAACAAACAUUGGUUGAGCGACUUGCUUACGAGGUGACGACCACUGAACCGACGGUUUCUGUGACUGCUGGAGUUCCUCUGGAGAUCAUCAUCCCAUUUUUAGUGUCAUCAUCAUCUUUGUACUGGUCGUAUGUGUACUGAUGAUAGUUUUCUGCUUCUAUCUAAACUCUUGAAGGAAGUCAGUGUCAAUUGCUAGGCACCAACAAAACAUGGAGCUCGUGGCUACUGGAAUCAGAACUCGAUGAAAUUGCCAAGUCCAUCCCAGACUCAUUCAAAAUACCAGCCUCAAUAUUGAAGCUCUCCAGUACUGCAAUUGGACAAG